CCUGUGAAUCUGCCGUCCAGUAAUUUGCUUGUUUAUCUAUUAAGCUUUGCCUUUCUUCAUCCCUCCUGUUUGGAGCAAGAGAAGCUCCACUGCACCACCGCAGUAGGGGAGUUGGACUGGAUGGCCUUUAAAUGUUCCUUCCAACUCAAAUGAUUCCAGAUCCUGGCAGCUUGAAGUCCCUGUGGCUGUGCAGCACAGUUUUGCCUCCUUGAAGAAGGAAGAGCAAUGUGAGAGAACUGGAGCCGCCAACCCAGUGCCCUGCAG